UUGAGAGUAGUGUUUUCAAUGGAGCGAUAAAAAACUUGAAAACGAAGAAGAGACUCCAAUGAUCAAAUAGGAAGAGAUAUUGAAUCAACCAUGUGAUGCUUGUGGGAACAUUGGCUGGUCAUAUGUUCUUAUCACUUUUUUCAUUUGCGAGGUACCUGCAAGACUGCUUUACAUCCACACUGUGCAAAGGAAGCAAGAGUCCCCUAGUUGGGAAAAAGAUUGGUGUAUGUCCUAAUGAGCAGCAACACCAACUUCCUCCUUUUUCUUCUUUUUUUCAGUGUUAGAGUGUAAGAAAAUAAGGAUCGAGUCUCUUGUAUGGCCAUCUAAAAAUUGGCCCGAACAGUCUCUUGUAUGGCCCAUCUAAAAAUUGGCCCGAACAGAUAAGUAAUUAAUGAAUAAAAGAUUUUGACA